UCAUGGGUGAACUCUGCAUGAACAUCGAAAGGGAAUGGGGUUAAUAUUCUUGAACGGGGACAUGGCGGUGGAUGACAACGUUAGGAAAUCCAGAGACAUUGUUGGGGGCCCCCAUAAGAGUUGUAUUUUCAUUUUAACGACUUUCCCACCUUGAAAUCGAUUCAACCGGAUAUAGUGUCAAGCAUAUAGAAGAGAAUCACACGUCUUGUGGUGUCUGGUGCCCCCUCGACAACCAUUGAAAAUAUAUAGGACCAAGUACCAUCCAUGCCCGGUCAUACUCAUAAAUGCAUCAGGUCUCCAAGGUGAACAACCUAUGGUC
rnacentral:ncRNA from 1 species